AAAAAGGGCUUCUGUCAUGAGGGGCACAUGUAGGGCAGCCCCAUCUCUCUUCAUGUGGAAUCGACGUCAAGAGAUUUCAGAAGCAUGAUUUUUUGCUGCCCGGGCGGCCGGUGAUCAUUGGUCCCUGCACACGC